UCUCCGUAGGUGAACCUGCGGAGGGAUCAUUACUGAGUGAGGGUCUCCCGACCCGACCUCCAACCCCAUGUAUUCCGACUCUGUUGCCUCGGGGGCGACCCUGCCUUCGGGCGUUGGGGCCCCCGGUGGACCACACAACUCUGCAUCUUUGCGUCUGAGUAACAUUUUGAAUUAAAUCAAAACUUUCAACAACGGAUCUCUUGGUUCUGGCAUCGAUGAAGAACGCAGC
rnacentral:misc_RNA from 1 species